rnacentral:rRNA from 1 species
CAGCCGCGGUAAUACGUAGGGUGCGAGCGUUAAUCGGAAUUACUGGGCGUAAAGCGUGCGCAGGCGGUCUGUUAAGACAGAUGUGAAAUCCCCGGGCUCAACCUGGGAACUGCAUUUGUGACUGGCAGGCUAGAGUAUGGCAGAGGGGGGUAGAAUUCCACGUGUAGCAGUGAAAUGCGUAGAGAUGUGGAGGAAUACCGAUGGCGAAGGCAGCCCCCUGGGCCAAUACUGACGCUCAUGCACGAAAGCGUGGGGAGCAAAC